rnacentral:rRNA from 1 species
AAUACAUGCAAGUCGAGCGGACCAAAGAAGAGCUUGCUCUUCGGCGGUUAGCGGCGGACGGGUGAGUAACACGUAGGCAACCUGCCUGUACGACUGGGAUAACUCCGGGAAACCGGAGCUAAUACCGGAUACGUUUUUCAGACCGCAUGGUCUGAAAGAGAAAGACCUUUGGUCACGUACAGAUGGGCCUGCGGCGCAUUAGCUAGUUGGUGGGGUAACGGCCUACCAAGGCGACGAUGCGUAGCCGACCUGAGAGGGUGAUCGGCCACACUGGGACUGAGACACGGCCCAGACUCCUACGGGAGGCAGCAGUAGGGAAUCUUCCGCAAUGGACGAAAGUCUGACGGAGCAACGCCGCGUGAACGAUGAAGGUUUUCGGAUCGUAAAGUUCUGUUGUUAGGGAAGAACCGCCGGGAUGACCUCCCGGUCUGACGGUACCUAACGAGAAAGCCCCGGCUAACUACGUGCCAGCAGCCGCGGUAAUACGUAGGGGGCAAGCGUUGUCCGGAAUUAUUGGGCGUAAAGCGCGCGCAGGCGGCUUCUUAAGUCAGGUGUGAAAGCCCACGGCUCAACCGUGGAGGGCCACUUGAAACUGGGAGGCUUGAGUGCAGGAGAGGAGAGCGGAAUUCCACGUGUAGCGGUGAAAUGCGUAGAGAUGUGGAGGAACACCCGUGGCGAAGGCGGCUCUCUGGCCUGUAACUGACGCUGAGGCGCGAAAGCGUGGGGAGCGAACAGGAUUAGAUACCCUGGUAGUCCACGCCGUAAACGUUGAGUGCUAGGUGUUGGGGACUCCAAUCCUCAGUGCCGCAGCUAACGCAAUAAGCACUCCGCCUGGGGAGUACGGCCGCAAGGCUGAAACUCAAAGGAAU